CGGCUUUUGUCGCAUUAACUGUGGGAACUCUGGUGGAAAUACAUUUAGGCACUUGAAGACUAUAAGUUCUGAGAUAAGACGGACUGAUACUGUGAACAGCUUGCCUGAGAGGCAAAAGUCUGGAAAAUAUGGUAGGUCUUAAGAAGGGCCUUAAAAACCACUAAGGAGGGGGCUGAAUGAAUCUGGGGAAGACGGUGUUUCAAAGAAGAGGGGCGGCUACAGAGAAGGCCCUCCUACGGGCCCAGGCACCACGCACUACCCCAGGGCCCAGGACACUAAGGAUGGCCAACUGAGAGGACCUUACAGGAUGGGAUACAACCGGCUGAGAGCGGUGAUCCUGGAGAUAUACAGGUGCUAAGCCCAUAAGAGUUUUGCAGGACAGCACAUUCCCCUGGAUCAGAUGUUAUCUCAAAUGACCAAGGAUGCCCUCCAGAUGUCUAAGAGAACAGGCAUUCAUGGUA